rnacentral:rRNA from 1 species
CUCGAGCGGCGAACGGGUGAGUAACACGUGAGUAACCUGCCCUAGGCUUUGGGAUAACCCUCGGAAACGGGGGCUAAUACCGAAUAUGACUUCUGGUCGCAUGACUGGUGGUGGAAAGUUUUUCGGCCUGGGAUGGACUCGCGGCCUAUCAGCUUGUUGGUGGGGUAAUGGCCUACCAAGGCGACGACGGGUAGCCGGCCUGAGAGGGCGACCGGCCACACUGGGACUGAGACACGGCCCAGACUCCUACGGGAGGCAGCAGUGGGGAAUAUUGCACAAUGGGCGAAAGCCUGAUGCAGCGACGCCGCGUGAGGGAUGACGGCCUUCGGGUUGUAAACCUCUUUCAGCAGGGACGAAGCGAGAGUGACGGUACCUGCAGAAGAAGCACCGGCCAACUACGUGCCAGCAGCCGCGGUAAGACGUAGGGUGCGAGCGUUGUCCGGAUUUAUUGGGCGUAAAGAGCUCGUAGGCGGCUUGUCGCGUCGACUGUGAAAACCCGCGGCUCAACCGCGGGCUUGCAGCCGAUACGGGCAGGCUAGAGUUCGGUAGGGGAGACUGGAAUUCCUGGUGUAGCGGUGAAAUGCGCAGAUAUCAGGAGGAACACCGGUGGCGAAGGCGGGUCUCUGGGCCGAUACUGACGCUGAGGAGCGAAAGCGUGGGGAGCGAACAGGAUUAGAUACCCUGGUAGUCCACGCUGUAAACGUUGGGCGCUAGGUGUGGGGGACCUCUCCGGUUCUCUGUGCCGCAGCUA